UACGGGCGGCAGCAGUGGGGAAUAUUGGACAAUGGGCGAAAGCCUGAUCCAGCCAUGCCGCGUGUGUGAAGAAGGCCUUCGGGUUGUAAAGCACUUUCAGUGGGGAAGAAAGCCUUGGGGCUAAUACCCUCGAGGAAGGACAUCACCCACAGAAGAAGCACCGGCUAACUCCGUGCCAGCAGCCGCGGUAAUACGGAGGGUGCGAGCGUUAAUCGGAAUUACUGGGCGUAAAGCGCGCGUAGGCGGUCUGAUAAGCCGGUUGUGAAAGCCCCGGGCUCAACCUGGGAACGGCAUCCGGAACUGUCAGGCUAGAGUGCAGGAGAGGAAGGUAGAAUUCCCGGUGUAGCAGUGAAAUGCGUAGAGAUCGGGAGGAAUACCAGUGGCGAAGGCGGCCUUCUGGACUGACACUGACGCUGAGGUGCGAAAGCGUGGGUAGCAAACAGGAUUAGAUACCCUUGUAGUC
rnacentral:rRNA from 1 species